ACAGAGGGAGGGGGGAUAGUAAAUUAUAGAACAGCCAGGGUCAGAACGGAGGGAGGGACUGAAUAUUAAAUUAGAAGAGCCAUGGUCAGAACAGAGGGAGGGGCUGAAUAUUAAAUUAGAAGAGCCAUGGUCAGAACGGAGGGAGGGACUGAAUAUUAAAUUAGAACAGCCAUGGUCAGAACAGAGGGAGGGGGAUAUUAAAUUAGAACAGCCAUGGUCAGAACGGAGGGAGGGGCUGAAUAUUAAAUUAGAAGAGCCAUGGUCAGAACGGAGGGAGGAGGUGAAUAUUAAAUUAGAACAGCCAUGGUCAGAACGGAGGGAGGGGCUGAAUAUUAAAUUAGAACAGCCAUGGUCAGAACGGAGGGAGGGGCUGAGUAUUAAAUUAGAACAGCCAGGGUCAGAACGGAGGGAGGGGCUGAAUAUUAAAUUAGAAGAGCCAUGGUCAGAACAGAGGGAGGGGGGAUAUUAAAUUAGAAGAGCCAUGGUCAGAACGGAGGGAGGGGCUGAAUAUUAAAUUAGAAGAGCCAUGGUCAGAACAGAGGGAGGGGGAUAUUAAAUUAGAAGAGCCAUGGUCAGAACAGAGGGAGGUGAAUAUUAAAUUAGAACAGCCAUGGUCAGAACGGAGGGAGGGGCUGAAUAUUAAAUUAGAACAGCCAUGGUCAGAACGGAGGGAGGGGGAUAUUAAAUUAGAACAGCCAUGGUCAGAACGGAGGGAGGGGGAUAUUAAAUUAGAACAGCCAUGGUCAGACCAGAGGGAGGUGAAUAUUAAAUUAGAACAGCCAUGGUCAGAACAGAGGGAGGGACUGAAUAUUAAAUUAGAACAGCCAUGGUCAGAACGGAGGGAGGGGGAUAUUAAAUUAGAAGAGCCAUGGUCAGAACGGAGGGAGGGACUGAAUAUUAAAUUAGAACAGCCAUGGUCAGAACGGAGGGAGGGGCUGAAUAUUAAAUUAGAACAGCCAUGGUCAGAACGGAGGGAGGGACUGAAUAUUAAAUUAGAACAGCCAUGGUCAGAACGGAGGGAGGGACCAUACUACUCUUCCUGUUCUGUUGUUUUUACUUUCGCCUGUGAGCAUCGACAGACCAGAGUGGUUUCUGGGCCCCGCUGCAAGAGAGUGUGUGUGUGUGUGUGUGUGUGUUGUAUAUACUCUGCUGUGUGUGUGUGUUGUAUAUCUACUCGUGUGUUGACAGUAUGAAACGUGGUGGUCUGUGGGAACGUGGCGGUCUGUGGGAAUGUGGCGGUCUGUGGGAAUGUGGCGUGUUUGCAGUGAUGCAUCUAUGGACAUCCUCUCAGAAUAAAUAAAUGUUCUAUACAAA